UGGGGAAUCUUGCACGAUGGAGGAAACUCUGAUGCAGCGACGCCGCGUGAGCGAAGAAGCCUUUCGGGGUGUAAAGCUCUUACGCCAGGGACGAUAAUGACGGUACCUGGAGAAGCAGCUGCGGCUAACUACGUGCCAGCAGCCGCGGUAAUACGUAGGCAGCAAGCGUUGUUCGGAAUUACUGGGCGUAAAGGGUGCGUAGGCGGCGCUCUAAGUUUGGUGUGAAAUCUCCCGGCUUAACUGGGAGGGUGCACUGAAAACUGGGGCGCUCGAGUAUGGGAGAGGAAAGCGGAAUUCCUGGUGUAGCGGUGAAAUGCGUAGAGAUCAGGAGGAACACCUGCGGUGCAGACGGCUUUCUGGACCAUCACUGACGCUGAGGCACGAAAGCGUGGGUAGCAAACA
rnacentral:rRNA from 1 species